AUACCCUAUUAUUUUUAUUGUAAAAUUAAAAGCCUGAGUAUUAUUAGUUAAGAUCUUAAAACUUAAAAAAUUUGGCGGUAUUGUAGUCAGUUUAGAGGAAUCUGUUAUCUAAUCGAUAAUCCACGUUGAACCUUACUUAAUUUAUUUCUUGUAUAUCGCUGUUUAUGAAUAUAUUUUUAGAUAAUUUUCUCAAUAUUUAAUUAAUUAAUAUUUCAAGUCAAGGUGCAGUUAUAAUUAAGUUGAAUAAUGGAUUACAAUAGAAUUUAUUUAUAUGGAUUAUUAUUUAAAUUUAAUAUUGAAGGUGGAUUUAAUUGUAAUUUUUAAAAGAUUAUAAAAAUGAUAAAUGCUCUACAAUAUGUACACAUCGCCC
rnacentral:rRNA from 1 species